CGGGUAGCGGAACACGUACACAACCUUCCGAUAAGUGGGGAAUAGCCCAGAGAAAUUUGGAUUAAUACCCCGUAACAUAUAGAGUAGGCAUCUUCUUUAUAUUAUAGCUUCGGCGCUUAUUGAUGGGUGUGCGUCUGAUUAGGUAGUUGGCGGGGUAACGGCCCACCAAGCCUACGAUCAGUAGCUGAUGUGAGAGCAUGAUCAACCACACGGGCACUGAGACACGGGCCCG
rnacentral:rRNA from 1 species